UCAGGCCUUCACCUUUUGGCCCUUCUCAGCAGGGAGAUGGCAGACACUUGACCACAGUCUCUGUGUUGUCAAGGGCUGGCCAAGAGGCUGUUUCCCAGGCAAAAGACCUGCUGUGUACCUAAGCUUCUCCACACUUUCUGGAUUUUCCUAAGGUAGGGGACCCUGGGGUCAGAGGGACACACCUCAUUUUGUCUGAUUUUAUCUAUAAAACGAUCUAUCUGCCAAUGGCUGCUCACAUAGCCCCAGAGUAGAGGACUUGCUUCCUAUGCCCGAGGUUAUGGGUUCAUUUCCGGGCAGUUGAAAUCCAUCCCUGACAUUCAUUGUUUUCAGACUCCUCCUUUGGCUGUGUUGCUUAGAAACCUCUGCUUCACCUUCUGGAAGGUUCCACUAGGCAGCCUGCCUAUCCAUGAGAGGAAGUUUUAGGCGAAUGAAGUCCACACUACCUGAUUGGGGUGGCUGAAUUUCUCAGGGUUCCAGGACGGAGCCAACCUGGUUCCAUCUGUCGGCCUUGCCUCCUCUCUCUUUCCCCUUUUACUCUGCCUGAACCUGGUCACCAAGAUUGCUGCACCCAAUGGUAAAAUCCUCAACUUCCCUGGCUGAAAACAAGAGCUUGGAAAACCCUAACAGCCCGGAUAGCGACAGGGAAGUGACGUCCGCCAGGGGGCGCCCCGCCCUUAACUGGACUCUGCAGGCCUGGCGUGCAGCCGGACAGCAGGCGACCAUGGCUCAGAAGGGCCUUUGAUGGACAGGCGGUGAAUGGGUCACAGAGUCACUAAUGGCUUCGUCGUCCGCUAUCCGCCACCCGCCGCCCGCCGCUCGCCGCUGGAGGAGGAAAUGGCCCUGCCCAGGCAUCGAUCUUGCAAGCGGCUGAGCAGCUGCUGUGGUUCCAGGGAGGCUGCCUGCUCCAGAGGCCCUCCUGUGUCCAAUCCUGAGGCCCUGCGCUUCUCUGCCUCCCUUCCUGCCUUGUUUUGCUUCAGUCCACUUAUCCUUCCUUCCUCAAUGUUUCUAGCCCCAGUUGACUGGGUGUGUACCCUCAAUAAAGCCAUCUUCUUAAGGCACUUGUAACCAUAA
rnacentral:sRNA from 1 species